rnacentral:rRNA from 1 species
GUCUCAGUUCAGAUUGCAGGCUGCAACCCGCCUGCAUGAAGUCGGAAUUGCUAGUAAUCGCGGAUCAGCAUGCCGCGGUGAAUACGUUCCCGGGCCUUGUACACACCGCCCGUCACACCAUGGGAGCCGGUAAUACCCGAAGUCAGUAGUCCAACCUCGUGAGGACGCUGCCGAAGGUAGGAUUGGCGACUGGGGUGAAGUCGUAACAAGGUAUC